UACAGAGGGUGCAAGCGUUAAUCGGAAUUACUGGGCGUAAAGCGUGCGUAGACGGUUAUGUAAGUCGGGUGUGAAAGCCCCGGGCUCAACCUGGGAAUGCCAUUCGAGACUGCAUAGCUAGGGUGCGGAAGAGGGAAGCGGAAUUUCCGGUGUAGCGGUGAAAUGCGUAGAUAUCGGAAGGAACACCAGUGGCGAAAGCGGCUUCCUGGUCCAGCACCGACGUUCAGGCACGAAAGCGUGGGGGAGCAAACAGG
rnacentral:rRNA from 1 species